rnacentral:rRNA from 1 species
CCAAGGAGUCUAACAUGUGCGCGAGUCGCAGGGUGCUCGCAAUACAAAUCGAACCCGAAACCCGAAGGCGCAAUGAAAGUGAAGGUCGGUGGCCCGACUGACCGAGGCGGGAUCCGUCCGGAGCAUCGUCUGCGGUCGCAAGACCGCAGGAGCCCGGCGGCGCACCGCCGGCCCGUCUCGACCGCUACACUGUCGGCGAGGCGGAGCCAGAGCGCACACGUUGGGACCCGAAAGAUGGUGAACUAUGCUCGGGCAGGACGAAGCCAGAGGAAACUCUGGUGGAGGUCCGUAGCGAUUCUGACGUGCAAAUCGAUCGUCGGACCCGAGUAUAGGGGCGAAAGACUAAUCGAACCGUCUA